GUCCCUGUAGCACAUUGGAUAGCGUGUUGGACUUCUAAUACAAAGAUAGUGGGUUCGAAUUUCACCUGGGAUG